rnacentral:misc_RNA from 1 species
UGGGCAACAGAGGUGGGUUCAU